rnacentral:lncRNA from 1 species
CCUUAACCCACUGAGCAAGGCCAGGGAUCGAACCUGCAAUCUCAUGGCUCCUAGUUGGCUUCGCCAACCACUGCGCCAUGACAGGAACUCCAAGGACAUUUCCUUAGCUCAUUUUUCAGAGUUUUGGUAGAAUAAAAAAUGGUAUUUUUUUUUUUUAAUAAAAAUUCUGUGGCUGUGUAAGUUUGGGAAAUGUUUGGGUCAAAAAGUUAGUUUUUUUUUUUUUUUUUUUAAAGUACAGGGCUUAUUGGAGCUUUAAAUAUGGUAAUGAGCUUUUGGGUUUACGAGAAGAGUAUGUGAUAUUAUUUCCUGUUUUAUAGCAAACCAAGAGCCACUGGACACAACAUGCAAAGUAUUGCUCUAGAUUGCAGUCUACAGUGUUUUCUUACAGAAAAGCUACUUCAUGGCUAAACUGUAGUUUUAUGAUAUGCAAGUGGACAGUGAGGGUACUUGGGAUUGUAUGAAGGGCAACUGGAGACAUGGAGUCUGGGAACCAAGACUAGAAUGAAUGAGUUGAUGGAAAAGACACUGACCCAGUGAGGAUAUGGCAGAAUUGAAUGUCCUAUUUGGAGACUGGAGCCUGGUAACAAAAACUGAGAAUGCUGCAAAGUCUGAUUUUGGGUCCUGAUAGAAAAACAUGACUCCUUAGGGGAGAACUGGAAGUCACACUUACUCUCUUAGGAAUAUAUGAAUUCUAUGUAUAGAAGACUAACCCAGUUCCCAAAUGUGUGACACUGUCAUCAUCUCCUGAUAUCUACAAGGACAAUAAAGAACCGUUUCCUGAGAAUUAUUCAUGACCUGGGCAAGUUGACAAAGACUCGGCAUCUCAGGCGACAGUCCCCAGGAUAUUCUGAGUGUGAAGAAAGAUGACUCACAGUAAAAAACAUCAUCCACUUGGAUCUGUUUCCUCUGACUUGACAGUUAAAAAGGAUCACUCUUCCUGGUUUGGAUCUUGUAGACCUUGAAGUAAGGUGUGUGAUAAAAACAUGAUAUAAAUUCUUGAGGUCAAUGGCCUAGAAAAUAGUCUCUUAGCUGGUCAGCUUUUGCUGUGAGGGGGUGCCCAAUUUUUUUUUUUUUUAUUUUUUUAAUGGCAUCAAUCAACUUUUGGAAGUUCUGGGAAAGGAAUCCUCAUAAGUGGACAUUCCUCUUCUCUGGCUUUAUCUUUGGUUGAAAUUCUAUGCUUCUGUGGUUUCUCAUCUGAUUUCUAGUCUGUGGCCAUUUCUUAUCUCCUUUGCUAAAGCAAGAAAGGUCUGUGCAA